rnacentral:rRNA from 1 species
AUUGAACGCUGGCGGCAGGCUUAACACAUGCAAGUCGAGCGGAGUGAUGGUGCUUGCACUAUCACUUAGCGGCGGACGGGUGAGUAAUGCUUAGGAAUCUGCCAUUUAGUGGGGGACAACAUUCCGAAAGGAAUGCUAAUACCGCAUACGUCCUACGGGAGAAAGCAGGGGAUCUUCGGACCUUGCGAUAAAUGAUGAGCCUAAGUCGGAUUAGCUAGUGGGUGGGGUAAAGGCCUACCAGGGCGACGAUCUGUAGCGGGUCUGAGAGGAUGAUCCGCCACACUGGGACUGAGAAACGGCCGAGACUCCUACGGGAGGCAGCAGUGGGGAAUAUUGGACAAUGGGCGGAAGCCUGAUCCAGCCAUGCCGCGUGUGUGAAGAAGGCCUUUUGGUUGUAAAGCACUUUAAGCGAGGAGGAGGCUCUCCUAGUUAAUACCUAGGAAGAGUGGACGUUACUCGCAGAAUAAGCACCGGCUAACUCUGUGCCAGCCGCCGCCGUAAAAC